CCCAAAAUAAGAGACUCCGAGAUGAGAUCGACAACUUGAGAAGGGAGAGGGU
rnacentral:ribozyme from 1 species